CAGAAACAUGACAGCCACCAGCUGCAGCGUAGACUAAAAAUCUUCCUUGGCUUCCUUGAAGCCAUUAAGUGCUUCAACCGCUCCAAAGGUAACCAGCUGCAGGAUAUUCUGAAUGACUGAAAACAUGAUCAAAAAACAACAGUGUGAGCCAGGGAAAACUCUGGCAGGAGAGCACCACCCACACAAAGAAAUACUUACUAAAUUCAUCUCGGAGACAGGAUAUCUGCUCAACUUAGGGGAGUUCUUUCUGCUCAGUGGGAAAAUCAACCGGAAGAUGUGCAGCAGUCAUAACAACACAGAGUAGUCAGAGUCUCACACAUCCUUUCCUGCUGGGUCCCCAACUCUUCCUGGAAGAAACUGAGGAUGGAGCCUUUCACAUCCAGGAUAUUACAUGAAAGUUGCACAGAAAACUGAUAUAUCUCCAAUGACUCACCUGCACCUUUGGAAAAGUCAGAAUGACAUGGAUGAGAUGACCUACAUACACACCUUUUAGUCACAGUUACUCUUGAUGUUGAAAUCUGUUCAGCCUGCAUUUUUGCUCUACAGAGAGCAAAAGAGAAAGAGGACGAAUAUACAGUCUUCAGAGCAGCAGUGGUGACUGUCCUCCUCCUGGGCUCCUUCCCAGUCCCCAGAACAAUUGUUUUUGGGAAACCCAGGCUAUUUGUUUCCAUCUCCAUCAACUCCCUGUGAUACAAACUACUGCACUGUUUACUGGAAGAGCCUGAACAGAAAGUCUACAACUUCAUAUCCACUAGAGCUUGGUUCAGUUCUUUUGCAUUUACAGAAGGCUGGCAGUGAAAUAGCAAAUUGUAUAAUGAGCUUCAAAGGGUCAUGCUGAUAUGAAAUGCAGAGACAGCCCUGAAAUCUGCUGAGGAACCACCCAGAAAGAGCCUGUACAUGCUCAAAUUUCUCACAUCCACCACGUAGCAAUGCAUUCUGCUAACAAGACCAACUAAAUGAACAUUUCUUUUGCUUGUACUUCAAAUUCUUCAUCAAAUGCUGUUUCAGUUUGCUCCACUGCAAUACUGGAAAAUGCCAGAUACACCUGGCAGUGUAGGAUAUAUGUAGCUCCCAGAAGUGCCCUGUACAUUUGCAAGAAAUGAAAUUAUUAAUUAUCUCUGUAUUUAUGUACCUAUUUGAUUCACAAGCUUGAUAGGUUCACUCUAGUGGCUGAUUUACGUGAAUGUUCCUGGGACUGCAUUACUGCAUAAUUAAUCUUUAUAGCAAAGUGGCCUUGUUUCCACAUGGAUGCUGCUUAAAAAAUUGCAUUCAUUUGCACUAUGGAGGCAUAGGCAAUAGGUGGAAAUAUCAAAAUGAGCUGUUCACUCCCUGUUCUGAAAUGGAUGAAAUCUAAAGCUAGUCUUCAUUUAGAUUGGAAGAAGAUGAUCCAGAGAUAUAGCACAGGAAAACCUCUCUGAUAUAAAGCUGGGAGGAGUGGCUGACACCAGAAGACUGUGCCUUCAGCAAGACUUGGACAGAAUGGAAAGUUGUGCAGGGAGAAACCUCAUUGAUUAACCUUGAUUAACAAGAGCAAGUGUAGAGUCUUGCUCCUGUGGUGGGAUAACCAUGUGCAUCAGUACAGGUUAGGGGAUGACCUGUGGAGAGGAGUUCUGCAGAGAAGGACCUGGGUAUUCUGGUGGACAAUGGGUUGGCCAUGAGCCAGCAGUGGGCCCUUGUAGCCAAGUAGGACAAUAGUAUUCUGGGGCACAUUCAAACGAGUGCGGCCAGCAUGUUAAAGAAGGUUAUCCUCCCUUUCCACUAUGCUCUGGUGAGACGACAUUUAGACUACUGUAUCCAGUUCUGGGCUCCCCAGUUCAAAAAAAAAAAAAACAGGGACCUCCUAGAAGGAGUCCAGCAGGGGGCCAUAAGGAUGAUAAAGGGCCUAGAGAUCUCCCUUAUGAGGAAAGAUUGGGAGACCUGGAUCUGUUCAUCCUGGAGAAAGAAGUCUGAGGGGGUAUCUGAUUAAUGUUUAUAAAUAUCUGAAUAGAGGUGGGAAGCAAAUGGAGGAGGCCGGGCUCCUCUUAGUGGUGCACAGCAAUAGGACAAGGAGUAAUGGCCUAAAACUUGAACAUAGGAAGUUCUAUGUAAAUAUGCUUAAGAACUUCUGUACGGUAGGGGUGACUAACCACUAGAACAGGUUGCCCAGAGAGGUUGUGGAGUCUCCUUCUCAGGAAAUACUCAAGACCUGGCUGAACAUCUACCUGUACAACUUAUCAGAGCAGGGGGCUUGGACUCGAUGAUCUCUUGAGGUCCCUUCCAACUCCUGAGAUUCUGUGAUUCUGAAACAGCAUGCAACAGAUCAGAUAUUUUUUCUUUUGAAACUGGACCUUAAAAAUACAUAUAUAUUUUUUGUUAUCCAAGGAAAUUAACCUGCUUUCUUCAGGUCAAAUAAAUUAUCUGUGGAUACUCAAAGAUAUUUUUGAUUAUUUUGCUUGGUUUCUAAUUGAGAUGGAGGAAGCAAUGAAUUGUUUUACCUAACAUGUAAUGCAGAUAGUCAUCAUACUAUCAAUGGGAAUGAAACAAUUUUUCCUUUUUUUGGUUUUGGUUUUGGUUUCAAAGAUAAAACGAAGAGCACUACUAAGUAGUACAAAAGAACCUUCUG
ensembl:lncRNA